UGACUACUCACAUCCUUCCUUGACCUACCUUGCUUAAGAGCAGUGGUUUCAUUUGUCCUUCUCUGGUGUGCCAGAGAAUUCUCAGGCCUCAUUUGGAAUUUCCCCAAAGAUCUCUUAUGAACUAAAUGAUUGGCUGAGACAACUUAUAAAAAUGGGUAGGUUUAUUUUACCUCAUUUGGUACACAUUUGGUAACAGCAUGCUGUUACCAAAGGUGACAGUUUUCUUUCUAUGUGGCAAUAGGGAAAUUUGCUGGGGCAUCUCAGGAUAACAACCUAAAGCUGAAGGCCUGAUCUCACUUUGUUCCCUUCGCAUUUUCAAUUCAUGAAAGAGAGCAUUUGAUGAAGCUGUUUGGAGCAAAUUGGUGUGAGUCAUCUCUUUUUGCCUUGUUUGCACCAGCCAUCUCGGAGGUGUCUGGACUGCUUCAGGUCCAGCCUAUGUAGGUUUCUUCUCCCUUAUGCACACCUCCUGCUAUAAUCUGAUGUGGUUAGAGUGGGAAGCAGCUGACUCUGCCUUCCUAAGACGCUGAGAAAAACUGAGACAGAAAAAAGCAUUCAGGAUAUAGGCAUUCCUCAAAAGGCACAAAGGAAUAUAUGCUUCUCAGCUUCUUCUUCUUCUUUUCUUCUUCUUCUCCUCUUCUUCUUCUUGUUCUUGUUCUUCUUCUUCCUCUUCCUCUUCCCUUUCCCCUUCCCCUUCUGCUUCUCCUUCUUCUUAUUCCUCUUCUUCCUCCUCUUCCUCCUCUUCUUCUCCUUCUUCUCCUUCUUCCUCUUCUUCUUCUUCUUCUUCUUCUUCUUCUUCUUCUUCUUCUUCUUCUUCUUCUUCUUCCUCUUCUUCUUCUUCUUGUUCUUCUCCUUCUCCUCCUUCUCCUUCUCCUUCUCCUUCUCCUUCUUCUUCUUUUGAGACAGUCUCACUCUGUCACACAGGCUGGAGUGCAGUGGCA
rnacentral:lncRNA from 1 species